rnacentral:rRNA from 1 species
UACGGAGGGAGCUAGCGUUGUUCGGAAUUACUGGGCGUAAAGCGCACGUAGGCGGCAAUCCAAGUCAGGGGUGAAAUCCCGGGGCUCAACCCCGGAACUGCCCUUGAAACUGGAUCGCUAGAAUCUUGGAGAGGCGAGUGGAAUUCCGAGUGUAGAGGUGAAAUUCGUAGAUAUUCGGAAGAACACCAGUGGCGAAGGCGGCACUCUGGGCCGGUACUGACGCUGAGGAGCGAAAGCGUGGGUAGCAAACAGG